rnacentral:tRNA from 1 species
UCACCCUUCGCCUAGCUGGUAGGGCACCCGAUUCUGAUUCGGACAGACGGCAAAAACCGUCGUGGCUUGGUUCGAACCCAAGAGGGUGAU